rnacentral:rRNA from 1 species
UACGGAAGGCAGCAGUGGGGAAUAUUGCACAAUGGGCGCAAGCCUGAUGCAGCCAUGCCGCGUGUAUGAAGAAGGCCUUCGGGUUGUAAAGUACUUUCAGUCGUGAGGAAGGUGUUAAGGUUAAUAACCUUAGCAAUUGACGUUAGCGACAGAAGAAGCACCGGCUAACUCCGUGCCAGCAGCCGCGGUAAUACGGAGGGUGCGAGCGUUAAUCGGAAUUACUGGGCGUAAAGGGCACGCAGGCGGUUAAUAAGUUGGAUGUGAAAUCCCCGGGCUUAACCUGGGAAUGGCAUUCAAGACUGGUUAGCUAGAGUCUUGUAGAGGGGGGUUAGAAUUCCAUGUGUAGCGGUGAAAUGCGUAGAGAUGUGGAGGAAUACCGGGUGGCGAAGGCGGCCCCUGGGACAAAGACUGACGCUCAUGUGCGAAAGCGUGGGGAGCAAACAGGGAUUAGAUACC